rnacentral:rRNA from 1 species
AGCGAACGCUGGCGGCAGGCUUAACACAUGCAAGUCGAGCGCCCCGCAAGGGGAGCGGCAGACGGGAGAGUAACACGUGGGAACGUACCUUUCAGUUCGGAACAACCAAGGGAGACUUUGGCUAAUACCGGAUACGCCCGUAAGGGGAAAGAUUCAUCGCUGAAAGAUCGGCCUGCGUCUGAUUAGCUAGUUGGUGGGGUAAUGGCCCACCAAGGCGACGAUCAGUAGCUGGUCUGAGAGGAUGAUCAGCUUCACUGGGACUGAGACACGGCCCAGACUCCUACGGGAGGCAGCAGUGGGGAAUAUUGGACAAUGGGCGCAAGCCUGAUCCAGCCAUGCCGCGUGGAUGAUGAAGGCCUUAGGGUUGUAAAGUCCUUUUAACGGGGAAGAUAAUGACGGUACCCGUAGAAUAAGCCCCGGCUAACUUCGUGCCAGCCGCCGCCGUAAGAC